CACACCGCCCGUCACACCAUGGGAGUCGGUAACACCCGAAGCCUGUAGUCUGACCUUUUGGAGGACGCAGUCGAAGGUGGGAUCGAUGACUGGGGUGAAGUCGUAACAAGGUAAC
rnacentral:rRNA from 1 species